GAGUCUAUGAUCUUCUAAAAUGUUGGAAGAGUGAAGCAUUAUGAUGGUGAGAGUUGCUUAGGAUGCUCUGUCUUUGGCCCUCAUCAAAUGCAACUCUAAAUUUCCUAUCAGAACAGCAAACAGGGAAGACCCAGGAAAAGAAGGCUCAUGACUUCACCUCAGCAAUGAGUGGGUAGGGAGGGUAUAUAUACAGAGAGAGAGAGACAUGGUCUCACUCUGUUGCCCAAGCUGGAGUGCAGUGGCUCAAUCUCGGCUCACUGCAACCUCCACCCCUGGGGCUCAAGCAAUCCUCCUGCCUCAGCCUCCCGAGUAGCUAGAGCUACAGGUGCAUACCACCAUGCCCAGCUAAUUUUUUGUUGUUGUAAUUUUUGUAGAGACAGUGUUUCGCCCUCUUGCCCAGGCUGAUCUUGAACUCCUGGGCUCAAAUGAUCUGCCCACAUCAGCCUCCCAAAGAGAUGGGAUUACAGGCAUGAGCCACCGUGCCCAGCCGGAACACAGGAAGAAUAUUGCAGUGUGGAUUUUUUCACCCAGAGAACUGACUCCAACAAAGUGAAUUAUUAAAUUUGUAUUUAAUUUGAUGCAAUGCUGAGUAUAGGGUGAUGUAGGGAUUUCAGAGACUACGUCGGGGUGCUUAAGUGGGUUAGGAAUUAUUUAAAAUAAUUUUGAGACUGCUGUGAGGUUAAAUCAAGGUCUACAAAAAGAAUCAGAUUUUUCAUAGCCUACAGCCAGUUGCUUUUGAAAAAUGGGGCAGAAAGAAAGAGAGAGAGAAAGAAGGAAGGAAGAAGGAA
rnacentral:lncRNA from 10 species